CAGGGAAUGGUAGGAUACCGAAGGGAUUGGUGUAUGGUUGAUAACUUGCUCUUUUGUCUGAGCAAAAACGGAGUUAUAUUGUGGUGCGAGCCGGGUGAGUUGGAUUUGCGUGAAACAGAGAGGGUGAUGAAUGUAGAGGCGGUCAGGGGUUUUACUUUUAGAUCUCUCUACCAGGAUCUCUUUCUUUCCAGGACUUGUCCACUAUGGUGAUCAGAUUAUUGAUCGUUGGGAAGAAAAGUGGAUCAUGGAUGGUCGACCCCCGUUCAAGAUGCCCAAAUGUUGGAAAAAGUUCAGGUUCGAACGUUUACGUCCAGGUGCCAGAAUGUGCAGCUCCGGCGGGAAGUUUGUGCUUUUCUGGGACAAGAUUUCAUUGGAGGGAUAUCUUCAUCAUAUUUGGUCGGCGGAGAUUUCAUUGGAGAGACUCCAAGGAGGCGAGAUUUGGGGCAACAUUGAACGGUCUAAUAUUGUCAUGCCUGUUGAACCUUUUAAAGCCCACAAGAAGGCCUUUAAGAUAACAGCAUAUACUGAAUAUCACUGCUCCUUAAAUCCCACAAAUAGCCUCUGUCAAUGACAUCUUCCUUCUCUUUGCAACUACUGUUGCUGGAUGCAGUGAAGAAGAUACCGCUGCUGUUGUUUUAUUCUUUUUCUUGGCAUCUCCAGAUGCAGAUUGAGCUGUUCUAGCUAGCUAGCUGCUUGGAUUGUAAGUACCGAGUUUUAGCCUGAGAUUUCUCCUGGGAAUCAGAAUAAGUUGCUGUUGAUGGUAGUAGUGAUAAGUGUAAUAUUUUUGGUUGGCAUAACUCUGUCCAAAGUUUCCAUCAGCUUUGUGUCUCCAUUACACAGAUUUCCCAUUCCGUUCUUCAGUUCUCUGAUAAGAAGACGCAACUGAUGUAGGGUUUUGUUUCUCCUACAUAUAUUUUAGUGCUGAUGUCCAAGUACUCAUCUCUUCAUAGUGACAAAUGCAAAUAAUGUGAUAUGGUUAAUUCAUGAACUGAUGUGUUGUCUAUCUCUGGUAUCUAUUCAUGAACUGAUGCAUUACACUCGAGCAGAAGAAGCGAAUACUCCAUGCAAGGAUCCACAUCAUGUAGUUCAGCUCGAUAUUAUAGGAAAUAUAUUUGUGUUCAAGAUUAACAAAGGUGAGACAAUUCUUGAAGAACAACACAAGGAGAAACAAUGAUGACGAUACCAAAUUCAGAUGGUUCUAGAUAUUUUGUUAGUACCUUUUGCUUUACUUCUCUCUGCAUAGCCUUGGUUACCACCCCAUCAGCAUGUUUUAAAAGUCCCUCCUGGCAAAGGUUUAGGACUUUUAGACACCUAACGCCAAUGAGUGGGAUCCAUUCAAUCAUAUUCGAACAUUGUCUUCUUCUUCCAUCGAUUGAUAAGUUAGUUAGAGCCAAUGAUUUGGAGCCUUUGCUUGCAACAGCUGCAUAUUAUCGCACCAACUUGAUUCCCUAUAAGGCUAUGAUUACUUCUAAAAGACUUUUUCUUGAAAAGUGUU